rnacentral:rRNA from 1 species
GCCCUGUUUUUCAAAAACAUUGCCUCAUGCUAAAUUAUAUGAUGGAAAUUCUGCCCAGUGAUUUUUUAACGGCCGCGGUAUCCUGACCGUGCAAAGGUAGCAUAAUCAUUUGCCUCUUAAUUAGAGGCUAGUAUGAAUGAAUAAACAAUAAUUUCCUGUCUUAUUACUAACCCUAAAAUUUUAUUUUUAGGUGAAGAAGCCUAAAUAUAAUAAAAAGACAAGAAGACCCUAUCAAGCUUUAUUUUUACUAAUUCUUCUAAUUUUAAAAAUUUAGUUGGGGCAACUAAAAAUUACAACUAAUAUUUUCCUAAUAAAGGCUCAUACUCCUAAAAAUAAAACUUUAAAAUAAACAUAAGAAAGCUACUGUAGGGAUAACAGGCUAAUACUUUUCAAGAGCCCUUAUCUACAAAAGUGAUUGGCACCUCGAUGUUGGCUUAGGGAUCCUUAUUCUGUGCAGAAGCAGAUACAGGUGGUUUGUUCAACCAUUAAACCCCUACAUGAUCUGA